ensembl:lncRNA
GAAACAAAACAAUUAGAAGUAUCACAGGGUUCACCAGUUAGAAACUUGUAUAGCUGACAUCACUUCCUCCUGCUUGUGCCUUUAAUUGCACAGAAGGAAAAACUUGAUCAAAGAAACCAUGAUGAACACGUUCCUUCGCGUAUCUUUGUCUCUAAUCAUGUUUACAGUGGUGAACAGUCUUGGUAAAACUGUUCUCCAGACGCCUAAUGAUCUACUGAAGAGACAGGAUGAAUCCGCUGUGAUCACUUGUACUCACAAGAUACAGAGCUAUGACCAAAUUUUGUGGUACAAACAAAGUCAGGACUCAUUGGGCUUAAAGCUGAUGGGGUACCUUCAAUAUAAUAACAAGUAUCCAGAGCCUGAAUUUGAAAAUAAGAUCAAAUUGGAGGGAGAAGCAAAGACAAAUGGAAAUUUGACUAUCAACAACCUCACGCUGACUGACAGUGCAGUGUAUUUCUGUGCAGCAUAUUACAC